rnacentral:lncRNA from 1 species
GGUCCGUCGCCCGCCUCUCUUGGACAAGUCCAGGCGAUGUGAGCACGCCCAGCCUCCUACAUUUCACUCCCGUCUCUCCCAAACAGACCUAGCGCAAAACGAGCACUGACACAGCGGGGGCCCACAUCCCGGAGGUUCUUUAGGGAGAGGUCGGGGAGUGCGGUUACCUAUGGCUCCGAAGUCCCCGCUGGCAUCCUGAAA